rnacentral:lncRNA from 1 species
ACUUGAAUUAAACUCCUAAAGGGCAAGAACCACAUGUGUGUUCCUCUUUGUAGCCACAUCUUUCUACCAUGCUCACUCCUUCCAUCCUACUCAGCUUAGCAGAGGAACAACUGGCCAGUUAGCAAGUUAUAAACAUCACUCUCUCCUGGGAUGAAACCACUCCCACACCAGGGCAAAUGUUUGGCAAAUAUAAGGAAGACUUGGUUUCAGUUCCCUUACCCUCCUGAGUAGGUACAUUUGUGCAGUGCACAAACUGCCCAACUAUAUGUAAUAGCCCUUGGACCUAACAUGUAAUAAGGGCAAAAUAUAUAUUUGCUGAUGAAUGAACUUGUCUAGGGAAUAUUCCCUACCUUUACCCCUCUUAAAUUACACGAACCAGAUGUGCCUAUUAUUUACAUAGUUUUGGUAUUGCACUAUAUCCAAUAAUCAAAUAUUCUUCAGCAUGCCUUGAUAAAUUAAUGUCAGGCUUCUGUCAUCAUGUUAGGAAUAAUUCACUUACGACACAGCUGGAUUCAGGACUGGUUCAACAAAUAGCAUCAAGACUCAACAUAUCUUUUGGUUCUCCUUCUGCUAUGUUACUUUCAGUCUUGGACUUCACAUCUUAGCAGACAGAGGCAGCAGCUCCAGUUCCUAGAUCCUCUCUAGUUUUAAGUCAACCUGAAAAAUAGAGCAUAUCUUUCCAGGAUUCCCAAGAAAGUUUCCUUGCUCUUCAUUGGCUCUUGUUGGGUCACAUGUGCAUCUGUAAACUCACCACUGUGAACCCAGACAUGUGAUAUGCUGAUUCGCCAGCUUAAGUCACUUUUCGACAUCUGGGGCUGAGACUGCCAGAAACAUUGUUGAAAUGGUGGAGGGGGCUAUUC